UCACCGGAGUACUACAAGCGCUAGCUUACCACCCAAAGGACUUGGCGGUAUCCCAUACCCACCUAGAGGAGCCUGUUCUAUAACCGAUAAUCCUCGUUAAACCUCACCACUUCUUGCCAUUACCGCCUAUAUACCGCCGUCGUCAGCUUACCUUAUGAAAGACAAAAAGUAAGCACAAAGAAUUCCAAUUUCCAUACGUCAGGUCAAGGUGUAGCGAAUGAAGUGGAAAGAAAUGGGCUACAUUUUUUAACCAAAAAACACGGACAGUAAACUGAAAAAUUGCUUAAAGGUGGAUUUAGCAGUAGGAGAAUACUAAAAUACUUCCCUGAAACCGGCCCUGGGAUGCGCACACACCGCCCGUCACC
rnacentral:rRNA from 1 species